UCUGAAUUUCCAAUUCUGCCGAGGGGUGCAUAAGCAGAGUGCAUGACUUAUGCACUUCUGCAUAACCAGAAACCCAAAAAUUCCAAACCUGCCGAGGGGUGCAUAAGGAGAGUGCAUAGCUUAUGCAGAUUCACGCCUCCCUUAUACAAUCUCACGGAAUUGUGCAUAACUUAUGCGCUUCGUCUUGCAGUUUCGCAUAAGAGAGCUAGAAACCAGCUGAAAUCUGCAUAAGGGACUGCAUAACUUA
rnacentral:misc_RNA from 1 species